UGCCUCCAUGGGACUUCACCCUUACACCGCAUGUAACGGCACCCUAAAGCGUCUUCUACAAUGGCAGUAGGAGUAGUAGUAAGAAAUAAACAAUCAGGAGGAAAGAUGGUGUUCCGUCUAAACGUUUCACGCAGCUCGGAAAAAUGUUUUGGUUACGACGGAUGUUGCGUCCAAAGAUCUCGAUUUUGCUGAUGUGAAACACGUAAUUAAUUACGAUAUGUCGGAUGAUGUGGAGAAUUACGGCAAUAUAUCGUGAUCUAUCGUACAAUUUAGGUUAUUGUAUUAGAAGAAUUCAAUGUUAAUGUAUCUCUCUUAAUAUAGUUCAUCCUCGAUUUCAUCGAAGAUAUGCGCUCGCGAAAAUGAGCAAGCAUAUCGCGUUAUUAUACUAAAAAAUCUGUAUAUAUGUUUCAUAUUUGUACAAAAUAAAAUUUAUAUUGUCUACUCACAAA